UACGUAGGGUGCGAGCGUUGCCCGGAUUUAUUGGGCGUAAAGGGCGCGUAGGCGGCUCGGCACGUCCGUUGUGAAAUCGCCCGGCUCAACUGGGCGGGGUCAGCGGAUACGGUCGAGCUUGAGCAAGCUAGGGGGCAAUGGAAUUCCCGGUGUAGUGGUGAAAUGCGUAGAUAUCAGGAGGAACACCGGUGGCGAAGGCGGAUCUCUGGGCCGAUACUGACGCUGAGGAGCGAAAGCGUGGGGAGCGAACAGG
rnacentral:rRNA from 1 species